rnacentral:rRNA from 1 species
UACGGGGGGGGGCAAGCGUUGUUCGGAAUUACUGGGCGUAAAGGGCUCGUAGGCGGCCAACUAAGUCCGACGUGAAAUCCCCAGGCUUAACCUGGGAACUGCGUCGGAUACUGGAUGGCUUGAAUUCGGGAGAGGGAUGCAGAAUUCCAGGUGUAGCGGUGAAAUGCGUAGAUAUCUGGAGGAAUACCGGUGGCGAAGGCGGCAUCCUGGACCGACAUUGACGCUGAUGAGCGAAAGCUAGGGGAGCGAACAGG